GGGUUGAUUCAUCUGGUCUGGCUUUGCCUUCCUCAUUCACCUCUCCAUGUGCUUCCUUCCAGGAGUUACUAAGCAUUUAGUCAAAGAGGAGAGCUUUCCCAGAAUAGAGAGGAACCAGUCUUUGGUCAAGGGUUUAAUUAAUAGAUGUACUUCCCUGCUAAAACCUCUAAACAAGUUCUCAAAAUGUAAGGUGGCAGAACUUAUGGUCAGGUAUGUGCUGCCAAGGACA
rnacentral:snRNA from 1 species